UGGUGACUUUAAGUUGAAACCAAAGCUCAUUUACCAUUCUGAAAACCCUAGGGCCUUAAGAUUUAAGUUAAAUCUACUCUGAGUGCUGUCUAUAAAUGUAAACAAAGCCUGGAUGACAGUACGUGUUUACAGUAUGGUGUACUGAAUAUUUUAAACCCACUGUUGAGAGACUUCCUCCUGAGAAAAAAAGAUUCAAAUUAUGGCUGCUCACUGACAAGAGCUCUGAUGAAGACAUAGAAGGAAAUUAAUGUUGUUCUCGCAACUGCCAACACAACGUGUAUUCUGCAGCCCAUGGACCAAGGAGUAAUAAUUUUGCCUUUCCAGUCUUCUUAUUUAAGAAUGCAGUUUAGCUGGCCCAGGCGCAGUGGCCUGUAAUCCCAGCACUUUGGGAGGCUGAGACAGGUG
rnacentral:lncRNA from 1 species